rnacentral:rRNA from 1 species
CCUACGGGAGGCUGCAGUGGGGAAUAUUGGGCAAUGGGCGAAAGCCUGACCCAGCAACGCCGCGUGAAGGAAGAAGGCUUUCGGGUUGUAAACUUCUUUUGACAGGGAAGAGCAGAAGACGGUACCUGUCGAAUAAGCCACGGCUAACUACGUGCCAGCAGCCGCGGUAAUACGUAGGUGGCAAGCGUUGUCCGGAUUUACUGGGUGGAAAGGGCGUGUAGCCGGGCUGACAAGUCAGAUGUGAAAUCCGGGGGCUCAACCCCCGAACUGCAUUUGAAACUGUUGGUCUUGAGUAUCGGAGAGGCAGGCGGAAUUCAUAGUGUAGCGGUGAAAUGCGUAGAUAUUAGGAGGAACACCAGUGGCGAAGGCGGCCUGCUGGACGACAACUGACGGUGAGGCGCGAAAGCGUGGGGAGCAAACAGGAUUAGAUACCCCAGUAGUC